AUGGGGCGGCUGGUGGCUGUGGGCUUGCUGGGGAUCGCGCUGGCGCUCCUGGGCGAGAGGCUUCUGGCACUCAGAAAUCGACUUAAAGCCUCCAGAGAAGUAGAAUCUGUAGACCUUCCACACUGCCACCUGAUUAAAGGAAUUGAAGCUGGCUCUGAAGAUAUUGACAUACUUCCCAAUGGUCUGGCUUUUUUUAGUGUGGUGAGUGUCUUCUUCCUUCCCCAAAUUCAGCAGAGGAGAUACAAGGGUAUUUGAUGAGGGCUGCAGAACAGGUCUAAAAUUCCCAGGACUCCACAGCUUUGCACCAGAUAAGCCUGGAGGAAUACUAAUGAUGGAUCUAAAAGAAGAAAAACCAAGGGCACGGGAAUUAAGAAUCAGUCGUGGGUUUGAUUUGGCCUCAUUCAAUCCACAUGGCAUCAGCACUUUCAUAGACAACGAUGACACAGUUUAUCUCUUUGUUGUAAACCACCCAGAAUUCAAGAAUACAGUGGAAAUUUUUAAAUUUGAAGAAGCAGAAAAUUCUCUGUUGCAUCUGAAAACAGUCAAACAUGAGCUUCUUCCAAGGU
rnacentral:lncRNA from 1 species